GACAUUUUUACCUAAAAAGUCACUAUUGGUUGAAUGUUGUAAGACCCUCUCGGUAUAUAAAGAAAACUACGGCCCAUCGACUAAAUUUAGUUAUCCUGAGAGCAACGAUAUAACAUCUUCUUCAUAUAUAUUUCAUCUGUCACCAGUAGAAAAUAUCCGGAAACAAUUGCUUGCUACAAAAAUGUCUUUGGUGAGAACGUCGAAAGACCUGGACAUCCCUUUCGAUAGAGACGAAAUAGAAGAAUUCUCGAUCUCUAGGAAAACGCAUGUCAGAGCAGGAUUUUUAGCAGCAUUAGUUUCUGGAGAAGGAGAGUAUAUAACA